UUGGUGACCAGCGGAGGGAUCAUUACCGAGUUUACAACUCCCAAACCCAAUGUGAACGUUACCAAACUGUUGCCUCGGCGGGAUCUCUGCCCCGGGUGCGUCGCAGCCCCGGACCAAGGCGCCCGCCGGAGGACCAACCAAAACUCUUAUUGUAUACCCCCUCGCGGGUUUUUUAUAAUCUGAGCCUUCUCGGCGCCCCUCGUGGGCGUUUCGAAAAUGAAUCAAAACUUUCAACAACGGAUCUCUUGGUUCUGGCAUCGAUGAAGAACGCAGCGAAAUGCGAUAAGUAAUGUGAAUUGCAGAAUUCAGUGAAUCAUCGAAUCUUUGAACGCACAUUGCGCCCGCCAGUAUUCUGGCGGGCAUGCCUGUCCGAGCGUCAUUUCAACCCUCGAACCCCUCCGGGGGGUCGGCGUUGGGGAUCGGCCCUCCCUCUGCGGGGGCCGUCUCCGAAAUCCAGUGGCGGUCUCGCCGCAGCCUCUCCUGCGCAGUAGUUUGCACACUCGCACCGGGAGCGCGGCGCGUCCACAGCCGUUAAACACCCAACUUUCUGAAAUGUUGACCUCGGAUCAGGUAGGAAUACCCGCUGAACUUAAGCAUAUCA
rnacentral:rRNA from 1 species